UGGCCUCAAAUCAGGUAGGACUACCCGCUGAACUUAAGCAUAUCAAUAAGCGGAGGAAAAGAAACUAACAAGGAUUCCCCUAGUAACUGCGAGUGAAGCGGGAAAAGCUCAAAUUUAAAAUCUGGUAGUCAUGGCUGCCC
rnacentral:rRNA from 1 species